GCAAACUUUGCCUUGUUAUCUUGCAAGCAUUCUGAUACUCUAGCAAACAAGGGCAACCACAUUUUUCUUGUGUCCCUGACACUGACUUUUGGGUGGUCUUGGGACAAAUAUCCAUCCCUUUGAUUCCCUUUUUUUCUCCUCAUGUGUGGAAAGAGGGACCACAGUGUCUUUCCUGCAUGUGUCUCAGAGAAAAGAGUGAAUGUUUGUUUCACAUUUCAGCUUAAGAAGGUCUUUCCUUCAGUACCUGCCAGCUGAACAAGCUUGUCUCUUUUCAAAGAGGCAGGCCCUCCUUGAGGUGCAUUACUGUGCAGUGAUGAAGAAGGCCUCUUUGUAGCAUUUCCUCUGCCAAGGUUAGGCCCAUGCAGCUAUUUGUCUGACUUUGUUGCUCAUUCCAGGUGCUCCCAGGUCUCCACAUCUUUCCCUGGUGGAGCUCCUCUGUCUGCGGACACACAUCAGGGAGCCACCAGUUACUAGACCUGAUCUGGGGAGAUGACAUCAAUAGUUUCAUUUAAUCUGCCCAGUGGCCCUACAAGGUUCAUUUAUAAACUCGACUCCUCGCUGAUGGCCCCAGUCUUUCUGAUCCACACCCCCUUCAUUCCAGGAAAACUGAAAGUCCCAGGUACAAUUAGGCUUAUCAGCACAAGGGACAAAGACCCUGUAAAAGAAUGACUAAUUGGUCGAAGGAACCAAAGGCUGAAGUGAAGAAUCACCUUUUAAAGUGGAACUUCUCCUUGACUUCACUUGUAAAAGCCCUGCCGAACAUUGACGGCAUAGAAACCAGGGAGGGCAAGGAAGCAGUGUGUCAUUUCCCCUACACCUUCAGAGAUAAUGGUCCAUGCUGAUCUGUGAUUUAUUUCUUGUACCAAAAGCUC
rnacentral:lncRNA from 1 species